UGGGGAAUUUUUGGACAAUGGGCGAAAGCCUGAUCCAGCAAUGCCGCGUGUGUGAAGAAGGCCUUCGGGUUGUAAAGCACUUUUGUCCGGAAAGAAAUCCUUGGCUCUAAUACAGUCGGGGGAUACGGUACCGGAAGAAUAAGCACCGGCUAACUACGUGCCAGCAGCCGCGGUAAUACGUAGGGUGCAAGCGUUAAUCGGAAUUACUGGGCGUAAAGCGUGCGCAGGCGGUUUGCUAAGACCGAUGUGAAAUCCCCGGGCUCAACCUGGGAACUGCAUUGGUGACUGGCAGGCUAGAGUAUGGCAGAGGGGGGUAGAAUUCUACGUGUAGCAGUGAAAGUGCGUAGAGAUGUGGAGGAAUACCGAUGGCGAAGGCAGCCCCCUGGGCCAAUACUGACGCUCAUGCACGAAA
rnacentral:rRNA from 1 species